AGCUUUGCACAGUGGCAGUAUCACAGCCAAUGAGGUUUAUCUGAGGCACAAUUAUUGCUAAUUGAAAACUUUUCCCAAUACCCUGCAUGAUGACUUGAAAUAUAGUUGGCAUUGUCAAUUUUUGACAGAUUCAAUGGAGA